AAGGCCUUAAGUUAAGCAAACUAAUAACCUUCAAAGCUAUAAAUAAAGGGGCUCCCUUUAGGCCUUG
rnacentral:tRNA from 1 species